UCUUUCUAGAAAAACAAAUUGAGAGAAAAAUGUGAUGAUUACUAUAAAAUCUACCGUAGUUGACACUUGUAGUUUUUAAUUAUUUGACAUUUCUUUAAAAAAAAAUGUCUAGUAAUGACCUUUUAAAAAAGAAAAUGUCAAGUAAAAGAAUUAAAAAAAGCAGAAAUUGACGGAAUAUUUCGAAUAUUUUCACAUUGUGUCAAGUAAUAUAAGAUCUUGCUUGACACGUUUUUUUAGUCAAGUAUAAGAAACUCUUACUUGACAUAUUUUUUGUGUUAAGUAAAAUAUAAAAAAAUAUUUUGCAUGAUCAAACAUUGUUGCUCGUCUCCUUAGCCCAAGCCGGAAGGAGAAUUCAUCGCCCGUCAUUCACGCCGACUAAACGCUGUCGCUCACGCCCUAGCCAUAUAAAAGAUCGAACAAGACAAACCAGGGAUGGAUGCUCAGUUCACUUAAGCUGCAUUUAUUUCCAUCAAUUCAAGGGAAAAAGGGAAAUGGAAAUGAUUUGUUAUAUAAAGUGGAGCCCUGUUGGUCAGACCGCAAGUUCUCUGCUUGCUCAAGCGGAUGCUGAUAGUUGUCUUAAAAUUCAUGCUCUUGACUGCUCUUCAAAUGGUGUAGAAGAUGAGAAGCUUUUUUGCAUACUUUUUGGAAAUAUACGUGGGAAAUGGAGAUGUUAAAUGUACUAAAUUAUAUAUGAUAUUUGAGAUUGAAUUAAGCACAAACUGGUGACCGGAGAAUUAUUCCGCCUCUCCUCCAACAGCUACAGAUUUCAAGCUUUGCCAUCCAUUCUAAAUCUCCUCCUCGUCCCAUGAAAAUAAUGCUAGAAUAUAUGUAAUCAAACGCUGGUUGGUUGUGUGUUAUUUGUAAUGUAUUGAUAUGUACUAAUGCUCGUUUAGUUCAUUAAAGUGAUUCAUGAUUGAGUGUGAGCUCAUGAUUUUUCAUUAAGUAUGAAGUAUGAACUACGAGAAAAGUGUUAGGUGUAAAUAAAGUCCCACGUUGAUUAGAAAA